ACGUGGGAAAUCUGCCUUUAAGUCGAGGAUAACUGCUGGAAACGGCAGCUAAAACUGGAUAGGUUAUAUUGGGGCAUCCUGAUAUAAUUAAAAGUCCUUUACGGGAAUGCUUAAAGAUGAUCCUGCGUCGCAUUAGCUAGUUGGUGAGGUAGCGGCUCACCAAGGCGACGAUGCGUAGCUGUGCUGAGAGGCAAAACAGCCACACUGGGACUGAGACACGGCCCAGACUCCUACGGGAGGCAGCAGUAGGGAAUUUUCGGCAAUGGGGGAAACCCUGACCGAGCAAUGCCGCGUGAAUGAAGAAGGUCUUCGGACUGUAAAAUUCUGUUAUUUGUGGAAGAAAGGUAGUUGGAGGAAAUGCCAAUUACUUGACGGUACCAAAUGAGAAAGCCCCGGCUAACUAUGUGCCAGCAGCCGCGGUAAUACAUAGGGGGCGAGCGUUAUCCGGAAUUAUUGGGCGUAAAGCGUGCGUAGGUGGUCAGUUAAGUCUGGCGUGAAAUUCCCUGGCUUAACCAGGGGGGGUCGUUGGAAACUGGCUGACUUGAAUCCAGAAGGGGUAAGUGGAAUUCCAUGUGUAGCGGUAAAAUGCAUAGAGAUAUGGAGGAACACCAGUGGCGAAGGCGGCUUACUGGUCUGGAAUUGACACUGAGGCACGAAAGCGUGGGUAGCAAACAGGAUUAGAUACCCUGGUAGUCCACGCCGUAAACGAUGAGCACUAAGUGUCGGACGAAAGUUCGGUGCUGUAGUUAACGCGUUAAGUGCUCCGCCUGGGGAGUACGGUCGCAAGACUGAAACUCAAAUGAAUUGACGG
rnacentral:rRNA from 1 species